rnacentral:rRNA from 1 species
UGGGGAAUUUUGGACAAUGGGGGAAACCCUGAUCCAGCCAUCCCGCGUGUGCGAUGAAGGCCUUCGGGUUGUAAAGCACUUUUGGCAGGAAAGAAACGUCAUGGGUUAAUACCCCGUGAAACUGACGGUACCUGCAGAAUAAGCACCGGCUAACUACGUGCCAGCAGCCGCGGUAAUACGUAGGGUGCAAGCGUUAAUCGGAAUUACUGGGCGUAAAGCGUGCGCAGGCGGUUCGGAAAGAAAGAUGUGAAAUCCCAGAGCUCAACUUUGGAACUGCAUUUUUAACUACCGGGCUAGAGUAUGUCAGAGGGAGGUGGAAUUCCGCGUGUAGCAGUGAAAUGCGUCGAUAUGCGGAGUAACACCGAUGGCGAAGGCAGCCUCCUGGGAUAACACUGACGCUCAUGAACGAAAGCGUGGGGAGCAAACAGG